rnacentral:rRNA from 1 species
UGGGGAAUAUUGCACAAUGGGCGAAAGCCUGAUGCAGCGACGCCGCGUGAGGGAUGACGGCCUUCGGGUUGUAAACCUCUUUCAGUAGGGACGAAGCGCAAGUGACGGUACCUGCAGAAGAAGCACCGGCUAACUACGUGCCAGCAGCCGCGGUAAUACGUAGGGUGCGAGCGUUGUCCGGAAUUACUGGGCGUAAAGAGCUCGUAGGCGGUUUGUCACGUCGUCUGUGAAAUCCUAGGGCUUAACCCUGGACAUGCAGGCGAUACGGGCUGACUUGAGUACUACAGGGGAGACUGGAAUUUCUGGUGUAGCGGUGGAAUGCACAGAUAUCAGGAAGAACACCGAUGGCGAAGGCAGGUCUCUGGGUAGUAACUGACGCUGAGGAGCGAAAGCAUGGGUAGCGAACAGG